rnacentral:rRNA from 1 species
CACCGCCCGUCACACCAUGGGAGUCAGUUGCUCCAGAAAUGGCCGCGCCAACCCGCAAGGGGAGCAGGCCCUUAAGGAGUGACUGGUGACUGGGGUG